GACAGAGGAUGCAAGCGUUAUCCGGAAUGAUUGGGCGUAAAGCGCACGUAGGCGGUUCGUUAUGUCGGAUGUGAAAGCCCUUGGCUUAACCGAGGAAGUACAUCCGAAACUGGCGAGCUAGAGUACGAAAAGAGGAUCGCGGAAUUCCCGGUGUAGAGGUGAAAAUUCGUAGAUAUCGGGAGGAACACCGGUGGCGAAGGCGGCGAUCUGGGUCGAUACUGACGCUGAGGUGCGAAAGCGUGGGGAGCAAACAGG
rnacentral:rRNA from 1 species